UUUCGCAAUGCCCGAAAGGGUGACGAAGCGACGCCGCGUGCGGGAAGAAGGCCUUCGGGUUGUAAACCGCUGUCGGGAGUUAAGAAAUGUAAGGAUGUUAAUAGCAUCUUUGCUUGACUAAGGCUCCGGAGGAAGCCACGGCUAACUCCGUGCCAGCAGCCGCGGUAAUACAGAGGCGGCAAGCGUUGUUCGGAAUUAUUGGGCGUAAAGAGCACGUAGGCGGCUAUGUAAGUCGGUUGUGAAAGCCUUCCGCUCAACGGGAGAACAGCAUCCGAUACUGCAUGGCUUGAGUGCGGGAGGGGAGAGUGGAACUUCUGGUGGAGCGGUGAAAUGCGUAGAUAUCAGAAGGAACGCCGGCGGCGAAAGCGGCUCUCUGGCCCAUAACUGACGCUGAGUGUGCGAAAGCUAGGGGAGCAAACGGGAUUAGAUACCCCGGUAGUCCUAGCCGUAAACGAUGGGCACUAAGUAGAGGGGUUUUAAUCUC
rnacentral:rRNA from 1 species